rnacentral:misc_RNA from 1 species
AAGUCGUAACAAGGUUUCCGUAGGUGAACCUGCGGAAGGAUCAUUAACACGUAUCCAAACGUAAAAAACCCCCCCCGUGAACAAUCAAACCUGCUCUUGUAACCCGCGUAGUUCGCAAUCUCUGGUAAAUCAUAGCCCGGAAAGUAGCUUGUAUUACAUUGAGCUUCACAUUAAACUGUGGGUUUAUAAGGGGGCAUGGGGACCCUUUGGCAUAGCUCCUGCCCGAGUGUACGGUCUACAAGAAUCGUUGAAGCGCUAUCCUUGCACAAUCAGUGACACUUUCAGACACUAACUGCUUGGGGAAACAAUGCCUAUGAAACUACCGCUCGAUUGUAACUGUUCCAAUGUUCUCACGUAGCCAGAGGUCUCUGAAUCAAAUUGGGUAAAAAAACCGAACAACUGUUAACAAUGGAUAUCUUGGUUCUC